rnacentral:rRNA from 1 species
AGCAGUAGCCACGGGAAUACAGAGGGUGCGAGCGUUAAUCGGAUUUACUGGGCGUAAAGCGUGCGUAGGCGGCUAAUUGAGUCGGAUGUGAAAUCCCCGAGCUUAACUUGGGAAUUGCAUUCGAUACUGGUUAGCUAGAGUGUGGGAGAGGAUGGUAGAAUUCCAGGUGUAGCGGUGAAAUGCGUAGAGAUCUGGAGGAAUACCGAUGGCGAAGGCAGCCAUCUGGCCUAACACUGACGCUGAGGUACGAAAGCAUGGGGAGCAAACAGGAUUAGAGACCCCAGUAGUCCCUGUCUCUUAUAC